CACCGCGAUGAACCGUCCUAGUGCAGCACGCGAAACACGCCAGCCGAAAUGCUAGCUGAAAGAAGAACGCAGAAAAGGGACGGAGCAUCCGGAAAGCCGGGCUCGUCCAGAUCAAAAACAAAAUCUAUUGUAUUAUCACCGAACCAACAGCAGAAAUUCGUGCAGGAGAUAAUUUACUUUAUUUGCGUCGAUAAUUAACUUUUUUGAACAGUGACCAGUUUGUAAACUGUUCAUCUCGUUGUAAGUGAUCAUUUGAUACAAUAUUUGUGCGCACAGUUGUAUAAUUAAUUUUUUUAUUAGCGAUAUUACUUACACCGCGUGGAGCGGCUCGAGGCCGCAAGGGGCGAAGAGUAGAGAUAAUUAGCCAGAAUUAAGGCUGCAAAGCCGUUUUCGGAUACCGCGCAGAAGUUCCGCUAGCAAAGCUAGCCUGUGAGAAGAGGUUAACGGAGUUACAAGGAAACUAUUCAUUUUUAAGCUGUUACAACAAAGAACUGCUUUAAAAAUCUAGUUGUCCGAACUACGGUCC